UCGAACGCGAAAGUUCCCUUCGGGGGACAAGUAGAGUGGCGCACGGGUGAGUAACACGUAGGUAAUCUACCUUCGGGUGGGGAAUAACAACCGGAAACGGUUGCUAAUACCGCAUAAUGCAGCGGCACCUAAUGGUGACAGUUGUUAAAGCGGGGGAUCGAAAGAUCUCGCGCCUGAAGAGGAGCCUGCGGCGGAUUAGCUAGUUGGUAGGGUAACGGCCUACCAAGGCGACGAUCCGUAGCCGGCCUGAGAGGGCGGUCGGCCACACUGACACUGACAUACGGGUCAGACUCCUACGGGAGGCAGCAGUCGGGAAUUUUGGGCAAUGGGCGAAAGCCUGACCCAGCAACGCCGCGUGAAGGAUGAAAUCCCUCGGGAUGUAAACUUCGCAAGAACGGGAAGAAUAAGUCUAUGUUAAUACCAUAGGCGAUGACGGUACCGUUUGUAAGCUCCGGCUAACUCCGUGCCAGCAGCCGCGGUAAUACGGGGGGAGCAAGCGUUGUUCGGAUUUACUGGGCGUAAAGGGCGCGUAGGCGGCCACCGCAAGUCAGUUGUGAAAUCUCCGAGCUUAACUCGGAAAGGUCAACUGAUACUGCGGGGCUAGAGUGCGGGAGGGGCAACUGGAAUUCUUGGUGUAGCGGUGAAAUGCGUAGAUAUCAAGAGGAACACCUGCGGCGAAGGCGGGUUGCUGGGCCGACACUGACGCUGAGGCGCGAAAGCUAGGGAAGCGAACGGGAUUAGAUACCCCGGUAGUCCUAGCCUUAAACGAUGAAUGCUUGGUGUCUGGGGUUAUAUAGUCCCCGGGUGCCGUCCCUAACGCUUUAAGCAUU
rnacentral:rRNA from 1 species